AUUUAUUUAUAAAAUAUAUUACAGAAAUUAUCUACACUGUACAAUAUCUGGCGUCUAACAUUCUUUUGUUUUGAAAAUUAUUAAUAAAUAAAAGUACAAAAUUUCCUUUAAUAAUAAGAUACGUACAAUAAUAAUAAUUAAUUAAAAUUAUAUAGCACCAGUCGAGACUAUGAAAUACUAAACAUUAAUAAAAAAUGCACGUAAUUAUUUAUACAAAACACGUCUAAAGAAAACGGGUAACAAGGGCGUUUUGAUUUACCUAACAAUUUUAGCAUACUAUUUUAUUAAAAAAUCAACAUAAACAACUGGCUCUCUAGCUAUAGUAAUAGUAAAAUGCUUAUUCUAAAAGAAUCACAGCUCCCAAUGGCGACGCUAGUGGUGGACUAACAACUCGUAGAAAACACCAAAGACAAUACAAUUGAAGGGUCAUUUUUCUCAUGUUAUUAAUUUUAUUAUUUUUUGUUUCUAGGGAAAAUUUGCACUCAAACUUCGUCCUUCUUUCCCAUCCAUUGUAACGAUCGAUCGUCAGAAUAAUAAGGACUAGAAUAUAACGAUCUGUUUAAAACACAACGUCUUUCGAGUGGGAUCAAAGGAGUGAUUACUAUCGUAUAUAAUAGAAUUAGGAAUGCGAUUCCACAGCCCCAAAACUUAAACGCAGAAGUUCGGAUCCAGAACUUAAGAAUUUCAUACAUUGCAGACGAACAAUGACCUUCGCUCAAAAUUGAAUGAAGAAUAAGAAUCCAAUGGAGAAAGUCGGAUUUAGAAAAUUGGUAUCCCAAGCUCAACACACCAUUCAUUCCACUGAAUAUAGUUCCAAAAAUUAGAAGUAAUAUUCACAUAGAACCAAACAGUUAUAGAAAUUAAAGUGGAAUUUAGCGACCGAAGAAAGAUUUAAAGCGUCAUAACUCGGCUCCAAUUUGCCGCCGUCUGCUGUCCUGACGACAAUGGUUCCAGAUGAUGAGGAAGGAGGAGGUAGAGGAGGAAGAGGAGAAGAAUAGUUGGUCGGUCCAGACGACGACGACGACGACGACGCCGGUUUUGCGUAAACAGAAAUUGUGAAUGAAGAAGGAACGACGCGACGUUGAACAAGACCGCGUCGGAAUUUUAGUGGAAUUUCUCUAAUCGACCUAACAACCGAAGCCAAAACUUAAUUAGCACAAACAUACCUAUUAUACAUAAUACCUACUUGUCGGUUUCAACAAGUGGUCCAAUCUCACCCACUACGUAUUAUUACGUAACUAUUUCACUACCCAAUGGAAUGUAGACGUCCCACGAUCCCAAAUGGAUUGAGAGAAGAAGAUUUGUCUUUAUUAUAGAAAGUU